ACUGACCUGCCUGAGUUGGAGUGAAGUGAGAGCCUUCCAGAGGUGGAAUUCUAAAGGAAGAAAGUUCCUUUUGGCAUUUAAAGAGUUAGUAGAACUUGGGUUCCGCUUUAUGGGUUAGUCUGUUAGUCAGAAAAUUUCCAGAAAUUAGAAGUAAGUAAACCUCUGUAGCCAAGGUUAGAAGAUAAUUCUUUAUUCUGCUUGCCGAUUGGCUUAUUGAAAUUUCUGCUGCCCUUUAAAGCAAUGUUUCCUGAAACACCUUCUGGGUGAGAAACUUCUUACAUUAGUAAGUAGGUGAGAGUGCAUCAUGGAAGUUAUGGCAGAAGCAACAAGAUGAUGCUAAGAUCUCUAAAUCAAAACUUGAUCACCUCCUAGCUCUAUUAGGGGCUGACAUAUUUUUUUUUUUAAUGGUGGUGAAUUUAUACUGAUUCCUAUGUUAAUUCACAAGUAAAAUGUACCAUACUGAAUAACCAUAGUCAUUGUUUCAUUAUUCUCUGUGCUUUAAUAUCACUUCCUAAGUAAUACCAUCUUCUUUUGUCUUCUGUUUCAUUUAAUGCUAGUUUCUUAUGGGAACCAGAAGAGUCAUUAUAAGAUGACUCAAAUGAAGUCAUGGAUUUAUAUGCACUGUUUUUGUGGUGGCAAAUGAAAAUGCAUUGACAGUGGAAAAGACUGAAAGGGGAUGAGAAGAAAGAAGCUACUAAUGUCAGGAUUUGGUCUAAUGGAUUCAUCUAUAGAUGGUAGCUCUGUGGGAGGGGCUUACAUCCAAAACCAUCUAUAAAAGCAUUUGUAUGUAUAACACAACUGUUUGCAUAUUUAUAGGGUAUGUGAGUAACAUACCCUUUUCUCAUCAUUAUUCUCUUGAGCUUUCAUCUCAUGGUUAGAGUAGUUGCUGCAGCUGAGCCUGCUGGUUAAUGUCAUGUUGGGACCGAAGUGAAAGCGACAAGGUAAGUGUCCUUCAUUUCUAAGGGGCAUUAUGGCAGGAGAAGUCAGGGUUCAUUUUGGCUGAUUCACAGACCAACUAAAUCAGCUUAGAUUCAGCUGAUAGAAGACAGUAGGGUCAUGGAUCAGCAGGAUUCAUUGCUCAGGUAUAAUAUUUUGCAGAGUGAUUGACAGAGCAAAGAGUAAAACAAAACAAAAAAGUACAACAGCAAAACAAAGCAAACUACUACCACCACCAAAUCUCUGUGGGAAGACCUAGAGGAGAAAGGACAAUUAGUCAGGGUUAGAAAAUGGUCACAAGCACUUAUGAAGCUUCUAGAAAGUGGGAAGGACUACUCUAACAUUUGUAACAGAAACUCAGUAAACUCUCGCAAACUGAUUAAGGCUGAUCUUGCCUAUCUGCAAAAGCAAUAUUCCAGUGCUUUGUUCUUCAAUAGUAG
rnacentral:lncRNA from 1 species